rfam:Papio anubis isolate 1X1155 chromosome 8, whole genome shotgun sequence.
UGGCGCCCGAACAGGGACCUGGAAACGAGGGACUCCGUGAGGAAGAGGACGCCAAAGGACGGUCGACCGCUAACAAAGACAAAAGGAAUUCACCGCGGGAACCUGCCGCGUCUGAAUCGAAGGUAAGUGGCGCGUCCGAAAUGGGACAAGAAUUAAGUCAGCAUCAGAUCUAUGUAGGACAAUUAAAAGAGGCUUUAAAGAUACGAGGAGUAAAGGUUAAAGGUAAUGAUUUGUUUAAAUUUUUUGAUUUUGUAAAAGAUACUUGCCCUU